UCAUAUUGAAAGAUGUAAUUUUUCAAUUAUUCAAAAGUUAGUGUUCACUAGUAGAUAAAAUUAAAAAGGCACCCCCCUUUUCGCAUCGGUUCUUAAAAACUGGUGGGAAAAGAAAUGGGCGGGAUUUGGAUAUAUACUUUUCGCACCGGUGCUAAAUUUAGAAAAAAACAAAAGGUAUUUCGCACCGGUUCAGCCCAAACCGGUGGGAAAACUUUAUUUACAACCGGUUCGAACCGGCGCGAAAUAAAAAAUAAAAAAAAACAAGCUUAAUAUUGAAAUUCUUCUUCUUCCUUCAGUUUUCAUUCCCCUGCUAGCUUUUCCACUUCAAUUCUUCCUUCUCUCGUUGUCGCCUACCUUCACCAUUGCUCUCCUUCACGCAUAGCUCCGAAUUUUCACCAUAGCUGUCCUCCAUUGAAGCGUAUUCUGGGCUUUCUCACCUCCAUUGAAGCACAACUCCUCCCUUUCUCUCCAUAGCUCUCCUCCAUUAAAGCGCAUUCUGCUGAGCUUUCUCACCUCCAUUGAAGCGCAUUCUAAGCUUUCCAACUCCAUUGUAGCAGCUUCGAGGUAAGAUUUAUUUCGUGGUCUUCCUAAUUUAUUGAAUACCUUCGCAAUCUAGGGUUACUCGUUGAUUUAGGGUUUUCUGAUCAUUGUGGUUUGCUGUUGUGACUUUAAUUUCGAGUUGUGCAUUCAACAAUAGUACAUUGUUUUAGGGUUUUCUGUUCUUUGUGGUUUGCUUUGAGAUUUUAGGUGGAUUCUGUUGUAACAGUUGGUGGAAUUGGUGGAAUUUUGCUACCAUAACUAAAAUUAUCGAGUGUGCAUCAUGUGACACACUAACAUAACUCGCAGGUAAUAGUGAGUUUUGCUUGAUUUGUUAUCCUAAUUAUAUUUACACAAGUUAGGGUUCUUGUUCUUUGAAUUUUCUGGAUUUUCGGUUUUAUUGUCACUGUUAGUUUAGUCUCGCUCCUCCUUCCAAUUUCGUUUUUAAGGGUUUAAUUUUUCUGGGUUUUGUUUAUUUCAUCUCAUCUUUUUCUGGGUGAAUUCUGGUGAAAUAUGUUUUGAUAAUUGGAUUUAUAUAUUUACUGUUGCAAUUCUUGUUUUUUGUUUAGGUUUUGUUUGUUUUAGCUCAUAUUUUCUGUAGUUUUUGCUGGGUGAAAUUUAUAGGAUUGGAACUAUAUAAGUGUGGAAGCUUUAUUCAUUGAUUAAUUAGGGAGGAUAGGAGAAAACAGAGCUGAUUACAAGAUUUGAUGUCCUGUCUAUCUCGGUUCGUGGAGAUGCUGGAGAUUAUUUCAGUGAUGCAAUCGCCAUUGGAUCCUUUCAUGCUACUCAAAGUGGUAUCGUCGUGGUUUAUUCUGCUGGUAAUUCUGGUCCUGAUGUAGCGUCUGGUUCAAAUGUUGCACCAUGGAUUGUUACUGUUGGAGCAAGUACUAUGGAUAGGGAGUUUCAAGCUUUUGCUGACCUUCGAAAUGGGCAGAGAUUUAAGGGUUCGAGCUUAUCAAAACCUUUGCCAAAUGACAAGCUUUAUCCACUCAUAUCUGGUGCUCAGGCGAAAACUGCCAAUGCAUUUGCGGCAGACGUGCACAUUGGAUAAAACUAGAGUACAAGGAAAAAUCGUGGCAUGUCUUCGUGGUGGUAAUGCAAGAGUGGAGAAAGGCGUGCAAGCAUUACUUGCUGGAGCUGCAGGGAUGAUCCUUUGCAACGACAAAGAUAGCGACAAUGAGAUUAUAGCUGAUCUUCAUGUCCUUCCAGCAACACAACUAACCUAGACAGAUGGGGCUGCUGUUUUGGCCUAUAUCAAUUCAACUGCUGAGCCUUAUGGUUACAUCACUCAUCCAGCAGUUGUUCUAAAUACCAAGCCAGCUCCUUAUAUGCCUGCAUUUUCAUCUAGAGGUCCAAAUCCUGUUACACCUGAGAUUUUAAAAGAUGCAAGGGAGGUCUCAGCCCCGAUUCCAGAAGGACACGGUGGCCGAGGUUGCACAGCCUCUUGCUGAUGGUAUAGAUGUAGGUGUAGAAUUUAAACCUGUUGAACAUCCAGUUGAGCCUCUUGACAAUGAUAAACCUGUUCCUUUUUCUUUUUAAUAUUUAUGGCAUGUGGAUAGCUAAAGGUCUGCAGCAGCACCUGGCUAGUUAUUACUGUACUAGUUUUUGUUAAACCUUAGAGGCUAGCAUCACUUUGUCUUUUUAGGUUUUGCAAUACCUUGUAUAAAUCAGCUAUGCUAUAGAAUUUAUUAUUUGCAAUGCAUGGAAUAUAUUUGCUCAGUUAACAAGACUGAGAAAUUUGUUCGU